rnacentral:rRNA from 1 species
GUGGGGAAUAUUGGACAAUGGGGGGAACCCUGAUCCAGCCAUGCCGCGUGUGUGAAGAAGGCCUUUUGGUUGUAAAGCACUUUAAGCGAGGAGGAGGCUACCGAGAUUAAUACUCUUGGAUAGUGGACGUUACUCGCAGAAUAAGCACCGGCUAACUCUGUGCCAGCAGCCGCGGUAAUACAGAGGGUGCAAGCGUUAAUCGGAUUUACUGGGCGUAAAGCGCGCGUAGGUGGCCAAUUAAGUCAAAUGUGAAAUCCCCGAGCUUAACUUGUGAAUUGCAUUCGAUACUGGUUGGCUAGAGUAUGGGAGAGGAUGGUAGAAUUCCAGGUGUAGCGGUGAAAUGCGUAGAGAUCUGGAGGAAUACCGAUGGCGAAGGCAGCCAUCUGGCCUAAUACUGACACUGAGGUGCGAAAGCAUGGGGAGCAAACAGGAUUAGAUACCCGGGUAGUCC